AAGUCGUAACAAGGUCUCCGUAGGUGAACCUGCGGAGGGAUCAUUACACAAAAAAUAUGAAGGCUGUAUGCGCUGGCGCCCUCCGGGCACCAGUGGCGGAGGCUGAAUUAUUUUUCCACCCAUGUCUUUUGCGUACUUGUUGUUUCCUGGGCGGGUUCGCCCGCCACCAGGACCACACCAUAAACCUUUUUUUUAAAUUGUAAUCAGCGUCAGUAUAACAAAUGUUAAAUCAUUUACAACUUUCAACAACGGAUCUCUUGGUUCUG
rnacentral:misc_RNA from 1 species